GUAAUGGUGGUUCAGUGGUAGAAUUCUCACCUUCCUUGCGGGAGACUCGGGUUCGAUUCCUGGCCAGUGCU
rnacentral:tRNA from 1 species